rnacentral:tRNA from 2 species
CGGGAUGUAGCUCAGUUGGCUAGAGUGCACGCAUGGGGUGCGUGAGGUCGCUGGUUCGAGUCCAGUCAUCCCGACCA